UUACUCUAGUUUCCCUUCAAAACGCAUAAAUCUUUCACAUUUUACUAAAGAUAUCCGUGAAGGGAACACUCAAUCAAUCAAGAUUUCUGUAAUCAUAGUAAUCUCAAUUGAACU